ensembl:lncRNA
CAUUUAUGACAUAUAAAAUCAUAAUUACAUGUCGCAUUACAGCCAAAACCAGAUUUUUUUUUAGUACAUAAUAAUAAUAAAUUAAUAUGUGAUCUGCGUGUUUUUUUAUGGUAGUUACUAAUGUUUGUGCUGUUCCGUUGUCAUUACGUCAAUUAGUAGGCCAACCCAGUGGUUUUCAGAAAAGCGUCUUUGAUUACAAUGAGGUCUGUGCAUAACGUUUCCUGAAACAAUGUUCACGCUGUGUUCAACAAUAUGAAUGAUUAUGAAAAUAAAUCCAACACCGCCAUUCUGAAAAACCCAUAGGAAAUUCCCGAGGAAACCCGUGGCUCAUAAACGUUGAGAAAUGUGUCACGUGUACACUUUUAUAAGGCCCCGCUCACUCACCAGAAUUCCUUUAUUCUUGUAAUAAGAGCUGAGCGGCUUUAGCGUCUUAUGAAUACACUCUGUCCCGCGGAUGCAUUUCACGCGCGUCCCGUCACCGGUGCUCAGAUUUGCAAAACAAACCCUGCUUACGGAGUCACGUGACACAGCUUUACGUCCGAUUGUGACCUCUGGUAAAGGGCAUGCAGCAGACUAUCGUCUAGGGCCACGUUUGCAGGGAUUAGUACUAAUUCCCAUUUCGCCUAGUGAUCCUCUUCCAGUCAGUAAUACAGUCCCAAGGGUUUGGGCCUAAUAAUCACUUUUAGGAUGUGCUUAUAAAUGCAAGAUGGAUGACGGAUGAGUACUUGCGUCUGGAAAUGUGGUAAGACACACACAGCCUCUCACCAUUAUGAGAUGGUUCUCCACAGAAAGAAGCAAUUGUUCCUUAUUGAACUACAUAUGAAAAAAAAUAAGACACUUUUGUAAUCAGCUUUACUUUAGCACUGUAUGCCAAAUUCAUAUACUAUCUGUUCUAAAUAUUAUAUCAGAUUAGAAUUAGUAUGUCCAAAUCAUAGUAUGUUAAAAAUAGUUAAUAGGAAUGACAAAUAACCAUGCCAAAUUAGGUUUAGACUUCCCAAAUAUUAAUUUGAUACAUUUUGGCCACAAGCAUUUACACUAUAUUUCUGUGCUAUUUUAUUAAUAUACACUACUGUUCAAAACUCAAAAGUAUGGAAUAAUUCAGAUUUUUAACUGUUUAUUUGAUAAAAAAAAAUACAGUAAAAACAAUCAUGUGAAAUACUUUAGCAUUUAAAAGAACAGUUUCAAUUUGAAUAUAUUUGAAAAUGUAAUUUGAGUAGAAUGUUUUACUUCAAUUUUAGAAUUCUUUGAUUAAUUAAAAGAUAUAACAAAAUAACAGCAUUUAUGUGAAUUAGAAAUCCUUUGUCAGCAUAUUAGAAUUUAGAAUCAUUUCUGAAGGAUCAUGUGACUCUUAAGACUGGAGUAAUGGCUACUAAAAAUUCAGCUUUGGAUCACAGGAAUAAAUUGCAUUUUAAAAUAUUAACA